rnacentral:snoRNA from 1 species
CCUCUGUGAUGAUACGAUGACGAGUCAGAGAGGACACUCUGUUCAGAGAUCUUGUUCAGGGUCACGUUCUGUGUUUCUGUACUUGGUUGCUGUGCAGAUUACGUCCUUUAUACUGAUUGAACUUGAGGCAUUUGUCUGAGAAGG